CCCUACGGGAGGCAGCAGUGGGGAAUAUUGCACAAUGGGGGGAACCCUGAUGCAGCAACGCCGCGUGGGUGAAGAAGUACUUCGGUAUGUAAAGCCCUGUCAGCAGGGAAGAAAAUGACGGUACCUGACCAAGAAGCCCCGGCUAACUACGUGCCAGCAGCCGCGGUAAUACGUAGGGAGCAAGCGUUAUCCGGAAUUAUUGGGUGUAAAGGGUGCGUAGACGGGAUAACAAGUUGGUUGUGAAACCCCUCGGCUCAACUGAGGAACUGCAACCAAAACUAUUAUUCUUGAGUGCAGGAGAGGAA
rnacentral:rRNA from 1 species